CCUACGGGUGGCAGCAGUGAGGAAUAUUGGUCAAUGGACGAGAGUCUGAACCAGCCAAGUAGCGUGAAGGAUGACUGCCCUAUGGGUUGUAAACUUCUUUUAUAUGGGAAUAAAAUGUUCCACGUGUGGGCUUUUGUAUGUACCAUAUGAAUAAGGAUCGGCUAACUCCGUGCCAGCAGCCGCGGUAAUACGGAGGAUCCGAGCGUUAUCCGGAUUUAUUGGGUUUAAAGGGAGCGUAGGUGGAUUGUUAAGUCAGUUGUGAAAGUUUGCGGCUCAACCGUAAAAUUGCAGUUGAAACUGGCAGUCUUGAGUACAGUAGAGGUGGGCGGAAUUCGUGGUGUAGCGGUGAAAUGCUUAGAUAUCACGAAGAACUCCGAGUGCGAAGGCAGCUCACUGGACUGCAACUGACACUGAGGCUCGAAAGUGUGGGUAUCAAACAGGAGUAGAUACCCCAGUAGUC
rnacentral:rRNA from 1 species